UACGGAGGGUGCAAGCGUUAAUCGGAAUUACUGGGCGUAAAGGGCGCGUAGGUGGCCCUGUAAGUCGGAUGUGAAAGCCCCGGGCUCAACCUGGGAAUUGCAUUCGAUACUGCAGGGCUAGAGUACAGUAGAGGAGAGCGGAAUUCCCGGUGUAGCGGUGAAAUGCGUAGAUAUCGGGAGGAACAUCAGUGGCGAAGGCGGCUCUCUGGACUGAUACUGACACUGAGGCGCGAAAGCGUGGGGAGCAAACAGG
rnacentral:rRNA from 1 species